CAAACAUGUCCUUGAGAGAACCAAAACUGUCGAACAAAGUGCUCAACUUGUUACCUCCCUCCACCUUCUCUCCUCACCUCCUUUUUGUCUUCUCUCCAUAACUUCCUUUUUCCUUAUAUACUCCUCCCCUUUAUGUCACUCACAUAUACACAAUAUAUACAUACCCACCAACAAAAAUAUAUAUAUUCAUCAAAUCUUCAAAAAUCACUUUUCUCAAACAUCUCUUUGAAGUUUUACCCCCAAAAAAACUUGAAAUAUUGAAUGAAUUGGAUAUGUUGGAAAAAUGGAUUCCAAAGAACCUAACAUUGAUACAGAUAAGUUAAGUUACGAGAUUUUUUCGAUUUUAGAAAGCAAAUUCUUAUUUGGCUACGAUGAUCAGAAGCUUUGGAUACCGAAAAAUCCACCAUCUCCUGUUGAAGAAACCAACGUUUUAAGCACCUCCCCAUCAAGGGAGAUUAAAAAUCAACGAGGUAAGAUAUGUAUAUUGAGUAUAGAUGGAGGAGGAAUGAGAAAUAUAUUAUCAGGGAAAAGCUUGGCAUAUUUGGAGCAAGCAUUGAAGGUGAAAUCAGGGAAUCAGGACGCAAGAAUUGCAGAUUAUUUCGAUGUUGCUGUUGGUUCAGGCUUUGGUGGAGUUUUCGUGAACAUGUUGUUUUCGAAAAUGAAUGAAAAUCAUUCGAUUUUUCACGGUGAGGAUACGUGGAAGCUGCUUGCCGAACAAGGGAAGAAGAUUUAUUCGUCGAAAGAAUCAAGAAAUACCUUUCUCAGGAGAGUUUUCCGGGGUGGUGGUGGUGGUGGUGGUUCGAAUAGUUCUGAUGUAUCCAGUUUAACCAAAGUUAUGAAAGAGCUAUUUAUGGAUAAGAAAACCGGGCGAUUUCUAACGCUGAAGGAUACAAUUAAACCGGUUUUAAUUCCGGUUUAUGAUUUAUCAAGUGCUUCCCCGUUUUUAUUCUCUCGUGCUGAUGCAUUCGAAUCAGAAAGCUUUGAUUUUCCCUUAUGGGAGGUAUGCCGAGCUACGGUAGCUGAACCGGGUUUAUUUGAACCGGUUAUUUUAAAUUCGGUUGAUGGAAAAACCGGUUGUGUAGCGGUUGAUGGCGGUUUAGCUAUGGUGAAUCCUACGGCGGCGGCGAUUACACACGUGUUGCAUAAUAAACAGGAGUUUCCUUUCGUUAGAGGCGUUGAGGAUAUUUUAGUAAUUUCACUUGGAGCGGGGCAGUUGUUAGAAGGAAGUUUUGAGUAUGAACAAGUUAAGAAAUGGAAAGCUAAGGAUUGGGCUAAACCAAUGGCUAGAAUCUCCGGCGACGGAGCGGCUGAUAUGGUGGAUCACUCCGUCGCCAUGGCGUUCGGGCAAUGCCGGAGUAGUAACUACGUUCGUAUUCAGGCUAAUGGAUCGAGCUUCGGUCAUUGUGGGGUGAAUAUAGAUGCUGAUCCAAGUCCUAGCAAUGUGAAAAAACUACUGGGAAUUGCAGAUGAAAUGCUGAAACAGAAAAAUGUAGAGUCACUACUCUUUGGUGGUAAGAAAAUUGCAGAACAAAGUAAUUUACAAAAACUUGAUUGGUUUGCUGGAGAACUUGUACAAGAGCAUCAGAGGAGGAGUAGCAGGAUAGCUCCCACUGUUGCAUUUAAGCAACAUCUCACAAAUCAAGAAAAGUAAAAUAUAAUGAAAAGAAAGAUUUGGGCUCGAGGAAGGACCCCACCCACAAGGGUGUAUUUCAUGCAGUUUUACCUUGCAUUUUUAUCAGGGGCUAUUUCCAAAGCGUGAACCAUGACCUCCUGAUCACAUGACAACGACUUUACUAGUUACUCCAAGGAGAAGAUGCUUUCAAAAUUAGAGUUGGUGUUGCCCCAAAAAAAAAGAAGAUAAAAAUAGUAACCUUUAUUUUUUGGAAGAGUGAAAUGGGAAAGCUAGUGGGAUUCCAUUGGGAAAUUUCCAUAGAUUAAAGUGAAAAGGACACUCAAAUUGUUUAUAAUGAAAAAAGAGAAAACAAAUAGGGGAUUUGAUGAAUCUUGGUGGGAACUUUUUGCCUGCCAUAGGACAAGCAUGGUGUGAUUAUCUUUUCGAUAAAUAUUUAUCUGCAUCAAAUAUUUAUAUCAUAUUAAGUAAUGUAAAAAACUUGAAAAUUCAAGUGAAAAUACAUGUCGUGUUAAUCAUGAUUGAGAGAUAAAAGUAUAUA